UAGCGUGAGGGUGCUAAGGUAGCGAAAUUCCUUGCCUUUUGAUUGUAGGCCUGCAUGAAUGGUUUAACGAGGGUUUAACUGUCUCUAAAUUUUUAGUUGAAAUUGUAUUGAAGGUGAAGAUACCUUCAUUAAAAAGUUAGACAAAAAGACCCCGUGCAACUUUGAAAAUUGACUAUAUUCAGAAGUAAAAGAUUUUUAGGUGGGGCGCCUAGAAAGUAAGUCUAACCUUUCUGAAUAGUAAAUUCUCUCUGGAUUUGACCCGAUCAUAUUCGAUCAUAGGAGAAGUUACGCCGGGGAUAACA
rnacentral:rRNA from 1 species